CCUACGGGCGGCAGCAGUGAGGAAUAUUGGUCAAUGGGCGAGAGCCUGAACCAGCCAAGUCGCGUGAAGGAUGACGGCCCUACGGGUUGUAAACUUCUUUUGUCAGGGAGCAAUUGGGUCCACGCGUGGGCUUAGCGAGAGUACCUGAAGAAAAAGCAUCGGCUAACUCGGGGCAAGCAGCCGCGGUACUACGGGGGAUGCGAGCGGUAUCCGGUUUUAGUGGGUUUAAAGGGAACGUAGGCGGAAUAUCAAGUCAGCGGUAAACAUUCGGGGCUCAACCCCGUCGUGCCGUUGAAACUGAUGUUCUUGAGUGGGCGAGAAGUAUGCGGAAUGCGUGGUGGAGCGGUGAAAUGCAUAGAUAUCACGCAGAACUCCGAUUGCGAAGGCAGCAUACCGGCGCCCAACUGACGCUGAAGCACGAAAGCGUGGGUAUCGAACAGGAUUAGAUACCCGUGUAGUC
rnacentral:rRNA from 1 species